rnacentral:rRNA from 1 species
UACGUAGGGGGCAAGCGUUGUCCGGAUUUAUUGGGCGUAAAGAGCGUGUAGGCGGCCAGACAGGUCAGCUGUGAAAACUCGAGGCUCAACCUCGAGACGUCGGUUGAAACCGUUUGGCUAGAGUCCGGAAGAGGAGAGUGGAAUUCCCGGUGUAGCGGUGAAAUGCGCAGAUAUCGGGAAGAACACCCGUGGCGAAGGCGGCUCUCUGGGACGGUACUGACGCUGAGACGCGAAAGCGUGGGGAGCGAACAGG